rnacentral:rRNA from 1 species
UUAAAUUACAACAAUUUAAAAAUUUUUCUUUCCCGAAGUGAAUAGAUCUAACUAAAAUUUGAUGCUAGUCAAAUUUUAAUAAUGUGGUAGAAUUAUAUAUGUAAGCUUUAGUUAGGGGUGAUAGGCCAUUCAAUUUUCAUUGUUAACUGGAUUAAACUAAAAUAUAUUAAGUAUAAAAGUCAAACUCAAAAAGCUAAGCUUUUGAGCUUUUUCUAAAUUUUGUUUUCUCUCCGUUUCAACUCUAUUAAUGUAAAAUUGAUUACGAGCUUGCAAAUAAUAAAUUUACUAGAUUUUUAGUUCAAAUAGGUUUAUAGAUUCAGGCAUUUAUUUUUGUGUUUUAAUAAUGUUUAAAUGAGUAUACAUAAUAAAUAAAUAAUAAGGAACUCGGCAAAAUUCUUCCUCAACUGUUUAUCAAAAACAUAGCUAUUUGGUAAUAUGUGUAGUUUGCCCUGCCCGGUGAUUCAUAUUUUAACGGCCGCAGUACACUGACUGUGCAAAGGUAGCAUAAUCAAUUGGCUUUUAAUUGAAGUCGUGUAUGAAAGGGUGCAUGGGGAAAAGCUGUUUCAUUAUUUGUUAUUAAAAUUUAAUCAGCAGGUGAAAAUGCCUGCGUGGUUAUACAUUAGACGAGAAGACCCUAUAAAUUUUUACCAAAUUUGGAGAAAUUUAGCCUAAAAGUUUUUGUUGGGGCAACAGAUUAACAAGACAUUUAAAUAAAUUUAAUCAAUUAUAUUUCUCUCAUCAACCGAGUUUUACUAAAUAUAAAUAAAUUACUAUAGGGAUAACAGCAUAAUUUUAAAAAUAAGAUUGUGACCUCGAUGUUGGAUUAGGAACUUAGUAAAUUAACAAUUUACCUAAGGGGUUCUGUUCGAACUAAUGCACCU